UACGUAGGCAGCGAGCGUUGUUCGGAGUUACUGGGCGUAAAGGGUGUGUAGGCGGUUCUCUAAGUUUGGUGUGAAAUCUCCCGGCUCAACCGGGAGGGUGCGCCGAAAACUGGGGGACUCGAGUGCGGGAUGGGAGAGUAGAAUUCCUGGUGUAGCGGUGAAAUGCGUAGAUAUCAGGAGGAAUACCGGUGGUGUAGACGGCUCUCUGGACCGCCACUGACGCUGAGACACGAAAGCGUGGGUAGCAAACAGGG
rnacentral:rRNA from 1 species